rnacentral:rRNA from 1 species
UACGGAGGGGGCUAGCGUUGUUCGGAAUUACUGGGCGUAAAGCGCGCGUAGGCGGACCUGCAAGUCGGGGGUGAAAGCCCGAGGCUCAACCUCGGAACUGCCUUCGAUACUGCGGGUCUCGAGUCCGGGAGAGGUGAGUGGAAUUCCUAGUGUAGAGGUGAAAUGCGUAGAUAUCUGGAGGAAUACCGGUGGCGAAGGCGGCAUCCUGGACCGACAUUGACGCUGAGGAGCGAAAGCUAGGGGAGCAAACGGG